GCCGGUGUGGCUCAGGGGUAGAGCAGUGCACUCGUAAUGCACAGGUCAACAGUUCGAAUCUGUUCACCGGCU
rnacentral:tRNA from 1 species